UACCAGCACCCCGAGUGGUCGGGACGUUUAUUGGGCCUAAAGCAUCCGUAGCCGGUUCUACAAGUCUUCCGUUAAAUCCAACUGCUUAACAGGUGGGCUGCGGAAGAUACUAUAGAGCUAGGAGGCGGGAGAGGCAAGCGGUACUCGAUGGGUAGGGGUAAAAUUCGUAGAUAUUCGCAGGAACACCAGUGGCGAAGGCGACUUGCUGGAUCUUUGCUGACGCUGAGACGCGAAAGCGUGGGGAGCAAACAGG
rnacentral:rRNA from 1 species